UCUCUCUCUUCUUUCAAACUUCUCCAUUCUUCUUAUGUUUUCUCUCUCCCGAUGUUUCUCUUCUCCCAAUGCUUCAUCUUCCCCUUCUUCAUUCUUCCUUUUUUUUUUCCCUUUGUUCAUCUUCUUCCUACUUUCGGUUAGGGCUUCUUUGAUCUGAACAUCAAUUUACAAACUGUAAUGAUACUUAAAAGAUCUUCUAAUCAACCAAUCCAGAUCAUCUUCCAAUCUUCUCGGCUGUAGUUGGAUUCUUUUUGCAAUCUCUCACUCUUCGUCCAUUUUCAAAAACGAGUUGUUGUUCACAAAGAUAGUCCAAAGGGGACACAUUUUCGUCGUGUUCGACCGCGAUAAAAUUUUCAUGUUUAUAUAAUUGGAGGAGAUGGGACUCAAAUGGGUGCAUCUGUAAUUUUCCAGGUAUCGAUGAUUUAGACGAGACUAUAGAACUUUUAGGUCUAUGGUUUAUAUAACGUUGCAUUGAAGUAACAAUUUAUUAAUUGUUCAAUUUUAUUAUUGUUACGGGAAGUCAAAUAACAUGGUCUGAAAUGUUCGAUCGUAGGAAUUUCGAAAACUGUUGAUAAUGAUAUCACGAUUAAUGAUAAGUUCCUUGGCUUUGACACUAUUGUUGAAGAGGCUCAACGUGCUAUAGAUGCAGCACAUGUUGAAAGUGUUGAAAAUGGUAUCGCUGUCGUCAAGCUAAUGGAUCGAGACAGUGUGUUUGCAGACUCGGAUGAAUGAAGUGGGAGAAAUCAGUGCAAAAAAGUGAAUAAUGGAAGAAAAUAUCAAGAACUGGCCAAACGCGUCCCCAGGCGCGUGUGGAACUUGAAAAAGCAUCUCCUGCUGCUGAAACGCGUCCCUAGACGCGUGUGGGAGUGAAAAAAUGAUGUCUAAUGAGCAAAUGCGUCUCUCUCUGUCCAUGUGCUGCAAGAAUGGUUGCCCUGCCUGGACGCAUUCCCAGACGCGUGCCAGAACCCCAAACGCGUUCUUAGACGCGUGCCAGUAGUCCAGAAAUGCAAAGGAAAUCCUCUCUCUGCUCAGACGCGUCCAUGGACGUGUGUCAUCCUACCAGACGUGUGUCCAAACGCGUGUACACGUGAAAUUUUGGGCUUUCUUGCUGAUAAGCCCAGUCAGGCAAAAAUAAGAGAAGGAGAACAAGUUGGCACAAGGGUUAGACGAUUUUGGAGGCGAAAAUACACUGUAGCAGCUGGAGAACUCAGAUUUGGUGCAAGGAUUGAAGAUUUCUAUGAGCUUUUGCCAUUGAAGAUUAGAUUUCCUUCAUUUAUCUGUAAUGUCUACAAUUAACACUAUGAUUUUUGUUAUUGUUAUGAGUAGCUAAACCCCCCAUUGCUAGGGGGUGACCCUGA